GACGAACGCUGGCGGCGUGCCUAAUACAUGCAAGUCGAGCGAAGUUUUUCUGGUGCUUGCACUAGAAAAACUUAGCGGCGAACGGGUGAGUAACACGUAAAGAACCUGCCUCAUAGACUGGGACAACUAUUGGAAACGAUAGCUAAUACCGGAUAACAGUAUUUCUCGCAUGAGAGAUAUUUAAAAGUUGGUUAUGCUAACACUAUGAGAUGGCUUUGCGGUGCAUUAGCUAGUUGGUGGGGUAAAGGCCCACCAAGGCGACGAUGCAUAGCCGACCUGAGAGGGUGAUCGGCCACACUGGGACUGAGACACGGCCCAGACACCUACGGGAGGCAACAGUAGGAAAUCUUCCGCAAUGGGCGAAAGCCUGACGGGGCAACGCCGCGUGAGUGAAGAAGGAUUUCGGUUCGUAAAGCUCUGUUGUUAGGGAAGAAUGGAUAUGUAGUAACUAUACAUGUAAGAGACGGUACCUAACCAGAAAGCUACGGCUAACUACGUG
rnacentral:rRNA from 1 species